GGCCUUGUGGCACAAUGGUAGCAUGUCUGACUCCAGAUCAGAAGGUUGCGUGUUCAAAUCACGUCAGGGUCA
rnacentral:tRNA from 1 species